rnacentral:RNase_P_RNA from 1 species
GGUGUAGGGAAGCUUAUCAGCAAAGCCACAUGCUAAGUGCAGUUAUUCCCAGACACCUGGGAAGGUCUGAAACUGGGACCACCCAUGGUCGUCAGGGGAGCAGAAUUCCCAGACAGGAGGGCUACACUAGGCAAUCAGGCAGCAGAGGCCUGACCAGCUCUCAGGAGGCAGAUGCCCCCAUCUCCUGAGCUUGCAACAAACUCACAGCCAGACCACUGAGUUCAAUAACUGAGGUGAGUCAUAUCUCAGCCUUAUAACCAAAAUCAAAGGACUCUCCCAUGGC